rnacentral:rRNA from 1 species
CAGCAGCCACGGUAAUACGUAGGGUGCGAGCGUUAAUCGGAAUUACUGGGCGUAAAGCGUGCGCAGGCGGCUUUGCAAGACAGAUGUGAAAUCCCCGGGCUCAACCUGGGAACUGCAUUUGUGACUGCAAGGCUAGAGUGCGGCAGAGGGAGAUGGAAUUCCGCGUGUAGCAGUGAAAUGCGUAGAUAUGCGGAGGAACACCGAUGGCGAAGGCAAUCUCCUGGGCCUGCACUGACGCUCAUGCACGAAAGCGUGGGGAGCAAACAGGAUUAGAUACCCCCGUAGUCCCUGUCUCUUACAC